CGGUUAUUGUGAUGCGUGUACGUAACAGAGUAGCUAGUAUAGGAAAAGUCGUUAGUAAGUAAGACAGUGAUCGAGUAUCAGCUGCUAGACUGACUGGAACAUUAGUAUUCGGUUUUUAAAAUCGAAAGGCUUGAUGACAUGGCCCUGCUGUAAUACAACGACACUGUGCUCGGCCUUCGUGCUUAAUCCACUCAACACCUGUGCACCUUAUCGAAGUUAGUAGUCUUUCCUCCUUAGUUGGAGCCGCCGGGGUUGACUUUGUUAGUAGUGUUUCGACGCGAAAGCAUAUGGUCGGCCUUGGCUGGGAUUGACGAACACUUUGACUUCAUCAUACACACUUUAAUUGUCUUGUAGAAUGUAAUGCUCCUUGUGGGCGAAAUGAAAUACAACUUUCAACAACGGAUCUCUUGGCUCUCGCAUCGAUGAAGAACGCAGCGAAAUGCGAUAAGUAAUGUGAAUUGCAGAAUUCAGUGAAUCAUCGAAUCUUUGAACGCACCUUGCGCCCCUUGGUAUUCCGAGGGGCAUGCCUGUUUGAGUGUCAUGUUAACAUCAAACCCCUUGCUUGUAAAGGCUCGGGGCUUGGAUUUGGAGGUUUGUGCCGGCCUGCUUCAUUGUCAGUUGUCGGCUCCUCUUAAAUGCAUUAGCUGGACUUUGGUCUGCGUGUCGGGUGUGAUAGUUUAUUCACCAAUCGCUUUUCCUAAUGGGUCUGCUUCUAAUGGGUCUUCGGACAAAGGUCUUUUAACAGCCCUUCUUUGAACUCUUUGACCUUCAAAUCAGGGUAGGGAAACUACCCCCGGCCUGGAAAACUUAUGAAG
rnacentral:sRNA from 1 species